rnacentral:lncRNA from 1 species
GUUGUAGGUCCUUCUGGCUCUGCUAUGUGGGAUGCCACCUCAGCAUGGCUUGAUGAGCAGUGCUAGCUCCGCACCCAGGAUCCAAACCCGUGAAACCCUGGGCCACCAAAGCGGAGAACUUAAUGACCUCCCAGGUCAGCCAUAUGUGUAAACUGUGUGCUGCAGCUUUCUACCAAGCCUCGGUGACAGCAUCUCAUGCUAUUUGCAGCCUUGAAAAUGGACACAUGACUGUACUGAAGAUGUUCAGCAUAGUAGUGAGAACUGGAGGUUAAGGGUAAGGAAGCAAAUGGAACUGCUGCCACAUCCCUGGAGGAAAUCACCCCUCUGCCAAAGAGGUAUUCAUCACUCUCUCAGCCAUCAAGGGAGGAGGCCAGGAGAGCAACUCGACCUUAGUCUCUUCUGUAAUGCUUUGAAGAGGAAUUAAAGAGUGCUCAACUUUAAAGCUUGGAACCAAGUGAUGUGGGUUUAAAAUAUGGGAACAUGGUGACCAUGCAUUUAAGGAAUCCGUAUGUGUGUUGUGCAAUGCCUGUUCUGGCAUUCUCUUUCACUAACAGUUUCCUGAAGAAGUAAUAAUUAGUUCAGCUAUUGCAAUGAAUGCAGAAAGUAGAAAUCAGGAAAUUCGGACUAAAGUCCUUUAAUGCUAUUUUGACCAGGUAAAUUAUAAUUAACAGGACCUUGGAAUUUAAAAAGCUAACUAUUUGAAGGCAGUGGUUAUUUUUGCAGCAAAGCAUUCUUGAAAAUGGCAUUGUAGACAGAUUGUUGUAAAUCAGAUGUU